rnacentral:rRNA from 1 species
UACGGAGGGUGCAAGCGUUAAUCGGAAUUACUGGGCGUAAAGGGUGCGUAGGUGGUCUCGCAAGUCUGAUGUGAAAUCUCCGGGCUUAACCCGGAAAUGGCAUUGGAAACUGCGGGGCUAGAGUGUUGGAGGGGGGACUGGAAUUCUCGGUGUAGCAGUGAAAUGCGUAGAUAUCGAGAGGAACACCAGUGGCGAAGGCGAGUCCCUGGACAACUACUGACACUGAGGCACGAAAGCUAGGGGAGCAAACAGG